AAAAGAACAAAGAAAAAAAAAAAAAACAAAAAAUGAUGCGUAUUUCAUUAUCCAGCCUUGUGAAUCCAGUCAGCUUUAUU
rnacentral:ribozyme from 1 species